GACGGAGGAUGCAAGUGUUAUCCGGAAUCACUGGGCGUAAAGCGUCUGUAGGUGGUUUAAUAAGUCAACUGUUAAAUCUUGAGGCUCAACCUCAAAAUCGCAGUCGAAACUAUUAGGCUAGAGUAUAGUGGAAGGGGUAAAGGGUAACUUCAGUUGGAGCGGUGAAAUGCGUAGAGAUUGGAAAGAACACCGAUGGCGAAGGCACUUUACUGGGCUAUUACUAACACUCAGAGACGAAAGCUAGGGUAGCAAAUGGG
rnacentral:rRNA from 1 species